rnacentral:rRNA from 1 species
UGAGGAAUAUUGGUCAAUGGGCGCAAGCCUGAACCAGCCAAGUAGCGUGCAGGAAGACGGCCCUAUGGGUUGUAAACUGCUUUUAUACGAGAAUAAUUUGAUGCACGUGUGCGUUAUUGCAUGUAUCGUAUGAAUAAGGACCGGCUAAUUCCGUGCCAGCAGCCGCGGUAAUACGGAAGGUCCAGGCGUUAUCCGGAUUUAUUGGGUUUAAAGGGAGUGUAAGCGGUUUGUUAAGCGUGUUGUGAAAUUUAGGUGCUCAACAUUUAACUUGCAGCGCGAACUGUCAGACUUGAGUACACGCAACGUAUGCGGAAUUCAUGGUGUAGCGGUGAAAUGCUUAGAUAUCAUGAAGAACUCCGAUUGCGAAGGCAGCAUACGGGAGUGUAACUGACGCUUAAGCUCGAAGGUGCGGGUAUCGAACAGGAUUAGAUACCCUGGUAGUCCGCACAGUAAACGAUGGAUGCCCGCUGUUAGCGCCUGGCGUUAGCGGCUAAGCGAAAGCAUUAAGCAUCCCACCUGGGGAGUACGCCGGNNCGGU